GACAUAUCAGGUUGAAACACCGGUCCCCGUACGAUCAUCGAAGUUACGCAACAUCGAACCUGGUCAGUAUCGAGAUGGGUGACCACUUGGGAAUACCAGGUGCUGUAAG